UACGUAGGCAGCGAGCGUUGUUCGGAGUUACUGGGCGUAAAGGGUGUGUAGGCGGUUCUUUAAGUUUGGUGUGAAAUCUCCCGGCUCAACUGGGAGGGUGCGCCGAAUACUGAGGGACUAGAGUACGGGAGAGGAAAGUGGAAUUCCUGGUGUAGCGGUGAAAUGCGUAGAUAUCAGGAGGAACACCGGUGGUGUAGACGGCUUUCUGGACCGUAACUGACGCUGAGACACGAAAGCGUGGGCAGCAAACAGG
rnacentral:rRNA from 1 species